rnacentral:rRNA from 1 species
UACGUAGGGGCUAGCGUUGUUCGGAUUUACUGGGCGUAAAGGGCGCGUAGGCGGCAAUUCAAGUCAUCUGUGAAAUCUCCGAGCUUAACUCGGAACGGUCAGAUGAUACUGCUUUGCUAGAGUGCAGAAGGGGCAACCGGAAUUCCUGGUGUAGCGGUGAAAUGCGCAGAUAUCAGGAGGAACACCGGUGGCGAAGGCGGGACUCUGGGCCGAUACUGACGCUGAGGAGCGAAAGCGUGGGGAGCAAACAGG